UUCGCUAAACUAUACCAUGAAGGACAUUUGUGUAAACCUACCAUUAAUCACAGCCAAGCCGGAUAUUGAAAUCGUCGUUGACCUUCUCAAUUUGUUGAAGCUCGAAAAGUCCGCCGUCGAGAAGCCGUUCAAUUCAACCAACAACAGCUCCGGAAAAGGUUAUUUUAACCGCGAGGCUUUCCGGCGGAUUUGGAAUAUUCAGACGUGGAUCUCAUGUACGAGCUCCUCCACCGCCUUAAAUGUGUACAAAACCUGGAUAAACGCCUCAUAUUCAGACUCCGUUAGAUAUAGUCUCUAUUGAGGUGUCUUCGUUCUGAAGAACAAAUUAUGCCAGUAGUUAGAGCUGUAAGCAUGGGAGUACUUCCAUUUACAAGGAGCAACAAUACUAAAAUGUGAUUAUGCGAUACUUGAACCAGUUCUAUCCUUCGUAGAAACGAAAAUUAUGUGGUGGAUCUUAAAGUCCAAAAGUUACACUUUUGCUUCGGCAACAGGUGUUAGGAGAGGUAGCUCUGAUCUUCUGUGAGCUGAUAGUAGACCCUUUUACUUCUUAUGUCAUUUGGAAGGUUAUGCAAAAGUUUAGCUCUAAACAGAUCACUCGAAUGAUUACAAUAAUCUAUACUUACUUUUGAAUUUUUUUUUGCAACUUGCUUUCAUUAUUUUUAUGUUUCUAUCUAAAUAAUGUAUUUGUUUCAAAAAAUCUCAUUAUAAAAUUUGAACUUUAUAUUCAA